rnacentral:rRNA from 1 species
AUUGAACGCUGGCGGCAGGCCUAACACAUGCAAGUCGAGCGAGCGGCGGACGGGUGAGUAAUGUAUGGGGACUGCCCGAUAGAGGGGGAUAACUACUGGAAACGGUGGCUAAUACCGCAUACUAUCGGAUAACCCAUAUGGGAUUAGCUAGUAGGUGGGGUAAAGGCUCACCUAGGCGACGAUCUCUAGCUGGUCUGAGAGGAUGAUCCGCCAAACUGGGACGGAGACGCGGCCCAGACUCCUACGGAGGCAGCAGUAGGGAAUCUUCGACAAUGGACGAAAGGCUGACCGAGCAACGCGGCGUGUAUGAAGAAGGCCUUCGGGUUGUAAAGUACUUUCAGCGAGGAGGCGUUACUCGCAGAAGAAGCACCGGCUAACUCCGUGCCAGCAGCCGCGGUAAUAC